UAAUAAGAAUGAGACCAAAAAAAAA
rnacentral:piRNA from 1 species